rnacentral:rRNA from 1 species
UGGGGAAUAUUGGACAAUGGGCGAAAGCCUGAUCCAGCCAUGCCGCGUGUGUGAAGAAGGCCUUCGGGUUGUAAAGCACUUUCAGUGGGGAAGAAAGCCUUGGGGCUAAUACCCUCGAGGAAGGACAUCACCCACAGAAGAAGCACCGGCUAACUCCGUGCCAGCAGCCGCGGUAAUACGGAGGGUGCGAGCGUUAAUCGGAAUUACUGGGCGUAAAGCGCGCGUAGGCGGUCUGAUAAGCCGGUUGUGAAAGCCCCGGGCUCAACCUGGGAACGGCAUCCGGAACUGUCAGGCUAGAGUGCAGGAGAGGAAGGUAGAAUUCCCGGUGUAGCGGUGAAAUGCGUAGAGAUCGGGAGGAAUACCAGUGGCGAAGGCGGCCUUCUGGACUGACACUGACGCUGAGGUGCGAAAGCGUGGGUAGCAAACA